GAUGAACGCUGGCGGCGUGCCUAAUACAUGCAAGUCGAGCGAACAGACGAGGAGCUUGCUCCUCUGACGUUAGCGGCGGACGGGUGAGUAACACGUGGAUAACCUACCUAUAAGACUGGGAUAACUUCGGGAAACCGGAGCUAAUACCGGAUAAUAUAUUGAACCGCAUGGUUCAAUAGUGAAAGACGGUUUUGCUGUCACUUAUAGAUGGAUCCGCGCCGCAUUAGCUAGUUGGUAAGGUAACGGCUUACCAAGGCAACGAUGCGUAGCCGACCUGAGAGGGUGAUCGGCCACACUAGAUCUUAGACACGGUCCAGACUCCUACGGGAGGCAGCAGUAGGGAAUCUUCCGCAAUGGGCGAAAGCUUGACGGAGCAACGCCGCGUGAGUGAUGAAGGUCUUCGGAUCGUAAAACUCUGUUAUUAGGGAAGAACAAAUGUGUAAGUAACUAUGCACGUCUUGACGGUACCUAAUCAGAAAGCCACGGCUAACUACGUG
rnacentral:rRNA from 1 species